rnacentral:rRNA from 1 species
UGGGGAGCAAACAGGAUUAGAUACCCUGGUAGUCCACGCCGUAAACGAUGGAUACUAGGUGUGGGAGGUACUGACCCCUUCCGUGCCGGAGUUAACACAAUAAGUAAUCCACCUGGGGAGUACGACCGCAAGGUUGAAACUCAAAGGAAUUGACGGGGGCCCGCACAAGCAGUGGAGUAUGUGGUUUAAUUCGAAGCAACGCGAAGAACCUUACCAGGUCUUGACAUCGAGCGACGAACUUAGAGAUAAGUUCUUCCUUCGGGACGCGAAGACAGGUGGUGCAUGGUUGUCGUCAGCUCGUGUCGUGAGAUGUUGGGUUAAGUCCCGCAACGAGCGCAACCCUUAUCAUUAGUUGCUACGCAAGAGCACUCUAAUGAGACUGCCGUUGAUAAAACGGAGGAAAGUGGGGAUGACGUCAAAUCAUCAUGCCCCUUAUGACCUGGGCUACACACGUACUACAAUGGUGAUCAAACAGAGGGAAGCAACACAACGAUGUGAAGCAAAUCCCGAAAAAUCAUCUCAGUUCAGAUUGCAGGCUGCAACUCGCCUGCAUGAGGUCGGAAUUGCUAGUAAUCGCGGAUCAGCAUGCCGCGGUGAAUACGUUCCCGGGCCUUGUACACACCGCCCGUCACACCAUGGGAGUCGGUAACACCCGAAGCCAGUAGCCUAACCGCAAGGAGGGCGCUGUCGAAGGUGGGAUUGAUGACUGGGGUGAAGUCGUAACAAGGUAACC